GACGAACGCUGGCGGCGUGCUUAACACAUGCAAGUCGAACGGAAAGGCCCUGCUUUUGUGGGGUGCUCGAGUGGCGAACGGGUGAGUAACACGUGAGUAACCUGCCCUUGACUUUGGGAUAACUUCAGGAAACUGGGGCUAAUACCGGAUAGGAGCUCCUGCUGCAUGGUGGGGGUUGGAAAGUUUCGGCGGUUGGGGAUGGACUCGCGGCUUAUCAGCUUGUUGGUGGGGUAGUGGCUUACCAAGGCUUUGACGGGUAGCCGGCCUGAGAGGGUGACCGGCGACAUUGGGACUGAGGUACGGCCCAGACUGCUACGGGAGGCAGCAGUGGGGAGUAUUGCACAAUGGGCGGAAGCCUGAUGCAGCAACGCCGCGUGCGGGAUGACGGCCUUGGGGUUGUAAACCGCUUUCGCCUGUGACGAAGCGUGAGUGACGGUAAUGGGUAAAGAAGCACCGGCUAACUACGUG
rnacentral:rRNA from 1 species